rnacentral:sRNA from 1 species
CUGCUCCCGUCCUAUGUCUGCGGCAGACAUCAUGAGUCGAACGCACUCCUUCCAGCCUCACUAGGGUGCCACCCCAAAUUCCUGCUAAUAGAGUGCCCUAGGAAGCCAAUUUGUCACAAUUGGUACGAGAUGAAAGUCUAUUUGCCGUCUUUGUAUGUACUCCCUACAGACCGUUUUGAUACCUCAUAGCCACAUGAUACUUUACAUUUCUCUAGUGUUUGUACUUAAACGCUAGCACACCUUCCCACUCAGGAAACGGAGAGGAGAAAGGUGGAGAAUUCACCAAGUAACCCCAUGAUAAGAACAGCAGCACAGCUCUGUUACCAGGCUGCCUUUUACCUCUCCCCCCUCAGGCUUUCCAUCUGAUGGUCCCCUGGUGUGUGCCCUGGAACAGGAGCGAAGGCUCCGCGUCCCUCCGAAGCCACCUCCCCCUUUGCAGCCCCUUCUCCGAGAGGCAAGGCCAGAGGAACUGACUCCCCACGUGAUGGUGCUCCUGGCCCAGCACCUGGCCCGGCACCGGUUGCGGGAGCCCCAGCUUCUGGAAGCCAUUGCCCACUUCCUGGUGGUUCAGGAAACCCAGCUCAGCAGCAAGGUGGUACAGAAGUUGGUCCUGCCCUUUGGGCGGCUGAACUACCUGCCCCUGGAACAGCAGUUUAUGCCCUGCCUUGAGAGGAUCCUGGCUCGGGAAGCAGGGGUGGCACCCCUGGCUACAGUCAACAUCUUGAUGUCACUGUGCCAACUGCGGUGCCUGCCCUUCAGAGCCCUGCACUUUGUUUUUUCCCCUGGCUUCAUCAACUACAUCAGUGGUACGCAGCCAGGAUGGCUGGCUGGGCCCCUGAGGGCUGGAGAGGCAGGGGAGCAGGGUGGCCUGCAGCCCGGAGCCCCAGUCCCCGCCUCCCCACAGGCACCCCUCAUGCUCUGAUUGUGCGUCGCUACCUCUCCCUGCUGGACACGGCCGUGGAGCUGGAGCUCCCAGGAUACCGGGGUCCCCGCCUUCCCCGAAGGCAGCAAGUGCCCAUCUUUCCCCAGCCUCUCAUCACCGACCGUGCCCGCUGCAAGUACAGGUGGAUGGGGCAGCCUGGGGCAAGGGGAGGGGCCGGCCUGGGACCAGCAGAGUGGAAAAGCCAGAGGGACCAUGAAGCGCCAAAGCUAAGGAGCUCUCGGCCACCAUAAAACUGGGCCCUGAAGCAGCAGAGGGCUUUGCCCAGCGUGGUGGCACUAGACUGGGACAGACUAGGAUGAGGUGCCGGGCCCUUCCUGCUACUGGUGUCCUUUCUCCUCAGUCACAAGGACAUAGUAGCUGAGGGGUUGCGCCAGCUGCUGGGGGAGGAGAAAUACCGCCAGGACCUGACUGUGCCUCCAGGCUACUGCACAGGUGAGCAAGGGGCAGGCGGCAGGCCCAGGGAGACGGAGCCCUGGCUAAGGCCGCCGGCCCUGCUCCCCCUCCAGACUUCCUGCUGUGCGUCAGCAGCUCUGGUGCUGUGCUUCCCGUGAGGACCCAGGACCCCUUCCUGCCAUACCCACCAAGGUCCUGCCCACAGGGCCAGGCCGCCUCUAGCCCCACUACUCGAGACCCUGCCCAGAGGUAAGGGAGGCAGGGUGGGGGAGCCCUGGCCACCUUGCCCGCCAUGCCCUGAGCCACAUCCCUCCCCCUGCAGGGUGGUGCUGGUGUUGCGGGAACGCUGGCAUUUCUGCCGGGACGGCAGGGUGCUGCUGGGCUCGAGAGCCCUGAGGGAGCGGCACCUAGGCCUGAUGGGCUACCAGCUCCUGCCGGUGAGUGGCCCUGGCCUGGCCCGUGGCGUAUCCUCACUCCGGGCCUGCGGGUAACCUGCCGCCAUCUCCUCUCCCCACAGCUACCCUUCGAGGAACUGGAGUCCCAGAGAGGCCUGCCCCAGCUCAAGAGCUACCUGAGGCAGAAGCUCCAGGCCCUGGGCCUGCGCUGGGGGCCUGAAGGGGGCUGAGGGGAUGAU